rnacentral:rRNA from 1 species
AUACGUAGGGUGCAAGCGUUAAUAGGAAUUACUGGGCGUAAAGCGUGCGCAGGCGGUUUUGUAAGACCGCGGUGAAAUCCCCGGGCUCAACCUGGGAACUCACAUUGUGACUGCCAGGCUGGAGUGCGGGAGAGGGGGCAGGAACUCCGCGUGUAACAGUGAAAUGCGUAGAUAUGCGGAGGAACCCCGAUGGCGAAGGCAAUCCCCUGGGCCUGCACUGACGCUCAUGCACGAAAGCGUGGGGAGCAAACAGGAUUAGAUACCCUGGUAGUCCACGCCCUAAACGAUGUCAACUGGUUGUUGGGAAUUUAUUUUCUCAGUAACGAAGCUAACGCGUGAAGUUGACCGCCUGGGGAGUACGGCCGCAAGGUUAAAACUCAAAGGAAUUGACGGGG